UACGUAGGGUGCGAGCGUUGUCCGGAAUUAUUGGGCGUAAAGAGCUCGUAGGCGGUCUGUCGCGUCGAUCGUGAAAACUUGGGGCUUAACCCUGAGCUUGCGGUCGAUACGGGCAUGACUGGAGUUCGGCAGGGGAGACUGGAAUUCCUGGUGUAGCGGUGAAAUGCGCAGAUAUCAGGAGGAACACCAACGGCGAAGGCAGCACUCUGGGCCGGAACUGACGCUGAGGAGCGAAAGCGUGGGUAGCGAACAGG
rnacentral:rRNA from 1 species